GCCCGUAUAGCUCAGUUGGUAGAGCAUUGUACUUAUGCGGUUAAAUGAUAUGCAAGGGUCUCGAGUUCGACUCUCGGUAUGGGCA
rnacentral:tRNA from 1 species